UAAACUGCUAGUUGCAUUGAAAUGGUUGUGUUUGAUUAAAUCGGGAUUAUGUAGAGUGUUUAAAUAAGUAAAUAACAGGUUUAUCUUAAAACCGAUAAUUUUUCUUUUCAACUGAAAUAAAGACUUUCACCUGUUAUCAUUAAUUCCCCUGCAUUUUAAAAACAAAACAACUGUCUCGGGUUGACAUUUUCCGGUUCACUAAGCGCAUAGCGUAAAGGGGUACUUUUGUUUUCAUUAGGCAAUAAGUGAUUAACUGGAAACAAGUGAAAGGGGUACUAGAAGACAUCCAAUUUGAUUCUGAAGCCAGUGUGAUAAUGAUAUUUAUGUGACAUUGUGCCAAAAAUAGUAAAGAAAUACCAAAUUUGGUGACGAGAGCAUAACUGGUCUACACAUCCACUGCAGGAUAGGAUUAUUUUUCUAAUUAAAGAGAUAUUAUCUAUCGUAAUCUGAAAUAAAAUAAGAAAAAGAUUUACUGGCGAUUCAAAAAGUGAGGAACAGUUUAUGAACCAUGUCUUCCUACUACAGGAAAGAAUCAACAUAUAGACAUGAUUACAACAAAGGAAAGGCACCAGAAUAUGACCGACAUGGUAUGAUAAGAAAUAUGGACUACAACAAGACAAAAUUUGAUGAUCCGAUGUGGCAGAGAGGUAGAAAUGAAUCGUCCGAGCAAUAUGAAGAUCGACUGAGAGAAAUGUCAAAACAUCAGGCACCCGACUACUAUCCUACAUACGAAGCAAGGAAAGCGCAUGAAAUGCAUGAGUACGGAAGAGAAAGGCAACCACAUCAUGACGCAUACCAUGAUGGACCUAUGACAGACAGGAGAGGAUAUGGUGAUAUGGACAGAGGAAGGGGUUACGAGGAUGGAUCACAAACAGAUAGAGGUUAUAAUCGCAGCUAUUUAGACCAUGGUAACCUUACAUAUCGGAGACACGACAGAAGAGAUGAACCAAAGAAAAGAAAUGAUAUGUAUAAAUCCAAAGAUUAUGUCAACAAUCGUGCCAUGGCAGAUCAAGUGAUAGUUGAUGAAGAGUAUGACCGAUACAGACCUACGCAGAAAGAUUACGGAGAUUUUGAAACUACUCCUAAACUAGAUAAUAUGCCAAAACCUUACAGAGGACAGUUUGAUCGACAGGCAUGACUUUGUUAGCCAAUCACAUGGAAGCAGUUGGUGAACAGACCCUUGGGAUAAAGUUGACAGUCAAUAAAAUUAUACAACGCUAACAAGUCGUUUCUAAAACACUCUUCUGCAUAAAUCAGAUGUAGAAAUAAUUUUUAAAACAGUGAAACUAUCCUCUAUUGUACGUUGUAACAAUUUACGGAAGACGGAUACUUUAGUUGACAAACAAAAUAAAUAGUGUCCAAGGCCAGAUGAUGGGGCGAUAUAUUAUGUCUGAGGGAAAAACAAACCAUAUCUUUUCCGAGAAAAAUCUAUACAUUUUUUCAUUUGUAACAACCUUUUUAAAAAAGAAACUGCAUUGAUUUCAAAAUGCAAUUACAUGUAGCUAAUCUUAUUAAAUAUCUAGCAUUGCAUGACUUUAAUAACCAAAUAACUACAGGAAGGGAGUUAACAGUUCACUUCCAAAAUCCCUUCAUCGGAAAACAGUUUUUAACAGAUUAAUUUACAAAGAUAUGUACUGCAAAAUAUCAAAGACAAUAGAAUUUUUGCAUUAUUUAGUAAUUUAAAUUUGUACAUUUCGGUUUAAUCCACUAGAAAAUAACUGUACCAAAUCAGGAAUAUGGUAGUUGUGUUCCAUUCGUUCUGUUGGUUGAUAUAGUCAUAGAUAUUUGAUUUUUGUCAGGUUCAAUGGUCUUCCCCAUUUUUGAAUCUACCUUGGAGUUAAUUUUUGUUAAUACUUAUUUUUCUAAAACCCAAUGUUGUGUUUAAAAUUUAAAGUAAACACUCAACUUUCUUAAAUUUAUUAGGUUGAUAUUAUAUUGAUAGCCAUACUUGCUAUAUAGUUAGUGAUCAUCUUUAGUGUUGGAAAGGAAGUCAUACACAUGUCAAAGAAAUUACUUUUUCAAGCAUUCUUAACAAAAUUACUCUUAACAGAUUUGUCUACACGGUACCAUGUUGUAUUGAAAUAAAAAACUCGUGCUUGAUAGCUCGAAUUUCAGUCGUAGGUUAUAAAAGCUAUGAUACAAAAAGGAUAGAAGUGACAAAUUUGGUAAUUUUAAGUAUAGAUUGUUCUUUGGUUCUGUAUGUUUUUCCAAAUUGAUGUGGCUCGUAUCAUAUUGUUACUGCAUGUUGGUUAUAUCCAUGUAUGUCACGGGAAAUUCAUUACUGUUUUAACUUUUCUUUCUAUUUUGUCCACUAUUUCCUUUUGUAUAACAGCUUUAAAAGAAAAAGGAAAAACCCAUCAGUUUUCUAUAUUAAAGUACUAAUUAUGGAUAAAUCAUCUGUAAUUUAUAAAUACCCAUGUGAUGUAUGUAAGAGGUGAAAAAAAUAGGGACACAAGACACAAGUUAAAUGGUUUCCUUGGAAUGUAAAAACCAAGGUUAUACACAUACUUAUAUGUAUGGUAUGAUACUUCGAGUGUAAGCAAGCGAAGAUUCUCAAAAAUAAAAUAAAACCGUAGACAAGUAUUAUUCCAAAAUUAUAUUAUGCAUGUUAGGUUGUAAAUAUUGUUGGUAGGCAUUUUAAUUCUUUCAACUUCCAGUGAACAAUAUAAAUUUAUGAUGAAGAAUAUUGUAGAAGAAAAAUGUACAAAAUAUCUUUGAUAUGAAUAUCUCAAAAAUGCGUUGCUAAAUAACUAUUUGUUAAAUAUUCUAAAAGAAUCAUUUGAAAAAAAAAAUAAGUAGUUAUAUAUCAAACAUGUUUACUCUAGUGUAUUGUAUGAUAAUGGUUAAAAAUUGACAAUAUAUGAAAAUAGAGUUUGAAACGCUAUUAUCAAGCGUUUAGAUUUUAGCAAUCCUGUUGAUGGUAAAUCAAGUAAAAAUUAAGUUCAAACGCACGAUAUCCAUAAAGUGUUUAUCUCAUUUUUUUUCUACUUACUGACUUUUGUCAAGUAAUAUUACAAGGAUUGCAUCCUGUUUGAACGUUGUUUAAUCUCUUUAAACUUGAAAUAUAUAGUGACAAAGCACGAGUUAGUACUAAUUUAUAUGUUGAUAUAGUAUCUUUUUGAAAUGAUUCGAAAAUAAUUGGAAUAAUGUGGCAAUUACAUACGUACCAGCUGAUACUAUGUAAAGUUACAGAAACAAAAAGUCCUACAAUAAGACAGAUCUGAUUAAAUCUUAAUUUGCAUACAUUGUAAAAAUACUUUGUAAUAUACAAAUUGGUACAUACAAUUACCUUUUAAGUGACACUGAUAGAAAUAUUAAAGUAUUGUUACAAUAUUUAAACAGUUCAUAAAACCUCGAAUUACAGAAUGUAGAUAUUUUUAAAUGGUAAACCAAUCCAAUAUUCUACCGAAUUCGAAUUACAUCUUUUAGUGUGUAAUCUGACUAAAUACCAAGUUAUGCAUACGUAAUUAUAAAGCAGAAAGGAUCAAUAGUAGAUAUUCUUUUUUUGUCGUUUCAUUAACGACAAAAUCGAUUUCAAUGUACUUUGUGCAGUCUACAAUCUACGAGAUGUAAAUAUUCUAUUCACCUUUCAUAGCGGGAAGAUUUUAUUUUAAUAUCAAUUAAAUACUUAAAUCAAUAUUGAUGAAAGACUUCUCUAAUGCAAAAAUGUCCUGUAUUAUAUUUUCCAAAUAACCCCAUUAGGGUAAACAAGAAAAGCGAGGUAUACAAUACUGAUCUAUUACUCUCGAAUAAAUCUGGUGUGCGGAACACCUUUGGUGAUAACGAAAAAGUUAAAGUGUCUUCGGUUUACCUUGACGACAAGGAUAUAAGUUGGUAUUAAUUACACCUAGUGGCAUUUGUGACUCUCAAUUUUUAAAUCUUUUGGACUAAAUUACUUCAAAAUGGAUCCACAAUGGAAAACAUAUCAUUCUCGUAUGCAGCAUUUGGAACGGAAUUUAGCAGACCAUGAUUCCCGAUUUAAUAAAUUUGAUCAUCGAAAUGAAACUCAUUCAGCUAAGUUAAGAACGCUAGAAACACAAUUAGAGGGUUUAAAAUUGGAUAAUUCAAGACUUUUUAAUGAAGUUGUUUCCUUACGUUCACAUGAGCAUCCCGGACAGCAAAAUGUAGACCAAAGGAUGAAUCAGCAACCACCCGACUCAUACAGAUCAGGGCAACAUACGGACAGAUAUCCUGAUGAGAGGGGUCGGCCUGAAUACCAACAGGACGACCGUGACCGACGAGGAGAACCACAAAGGAGGAAAGAUUUAGACCGCAUUGAAAUGCAUGAAGGCAAUUUUAAGCCUUACGCUUCCAAUUACUAUCAAGACCAACUAAAAAGAAAUCCGGUAAGAGAACAAAAUCUGUCACAUGAGAUCUCAACUCACGCAGUACCACCUCCUCAUAUUGACUACAAGUCGACAGGAAACAUUGAACCUGUUUCUAGACCAGAGAGUGGAGUUUACCUUUUCAUCAGAACUCAC